rnacentral:rRNA from 1 species
UUCCAGACUCCUACGGGAGGCAGCAGUGAGGAAUAUUGGUCAAUGGCCGAGAGGCUGAACCAGCCAAGUCGCGUGAGGGAGUACUGCCCUAUGGGUUGUAAACCUCUUUUGUCGGGGAGCAAAAGCCGGACGUGUCCGUCUGUGAGAGUACCCGAAGAAAAAGCAUCGGCUAACUCCGUGCCAGCAGCCGCGGUAAUACGGGGGAUGCAAGCGUUGUCCGGAAUCAUUGGGCGUAAAGAGUUCGUAGGUGGCACGUUAAGUCUGGUGUUAAAUGCAGAGGCUCAACCUCUGUUCGGCACUGGAUACUGGCGAGCUUGAAUGCGGUAGAGGUAAAGGGAAUUCCUGGUGUAGCGGUGAAAUGCGUAGAUAUCAGGAGGAACAUCGGUGGCGUAAGCGCUUUACUGGGCCGUAAUUGACACUGAGGAACGAAAGCCAGGGUAGCAAAUGGGAUUAGAUACCCGUGUAC